GAUGAACGCUAGCUACAGGCUUAACACAUGCAAGUCGAGGGGCAGCAUGGUCUUAGCUUGCUAAGGCCGAUGGCGACCGGCGCACGGGUGAGUAACACGUAUCCAACCUGCCGUCUACUCUUGGACAGCCUUCUGAAAGGAAGAUUAAUACAAGAUGGCAUCAUGAGUCCGCAUGUUCACAUGAUUAAAGGUAUUCCGGUAGACGAUGGGGAUGCGUUCCAUUAGAUAGUAGGCGGGGUAACGGCCCACCUAGUCUUCGAUGGAUAGGGGUUCUGAGAGGAAGGUCCCCCACAUUGGAACUGAGACACGGUCCAAACUCCUACGGGAGGCAGCAGUGAGGAAUAUUGGUCACUGGGCGAGAGCCUGAACCAGCCAAGUAGCGUGAAGGAUGACUGCCCUAUGGGUUGUAAACUUCUUUUAUAAAGGAAUAAAGUCGGGUAUGGAUACCCGUUUGCAUGUACUUUAUGAAUAAGGAUCGGCUAACUCCGUG
rnacentral:rRNA from 1 species